rnacentral:rRNA from 1 species
UAAAGGGUGCGUAGGCGGCUUUUAAGUCAGGGGUGAAAGACGGUAGCUCAACUAUCGCAGUGCCCUUGAUACUGAAGAGCUUGAAUGGACUAGAGGUAGGCGGAAUGUGACAAGUAGCGGUGAAAUGCAUAGAUAUGUCACAGAACACCGAUUGCGAAGGCAGCUUACUAUGGUUUUAUUGACGCUGAGGCACGAAAGCGUGGGGAUCAAACAGGAUUAGAUACCCCUGU